rnacentral:lncRNA from 1 species
CUUCUUCAGAUGCUGAUGCUUGACAGUCAGUGACUUAUUUUUAUAUUUUUUUAUUUUAUUUUGGACCUCUUGUAAUUAUUAAUUUUUUUAUAAUUAUAAUUUAAUAUACUGAAAUGAUCAAAUUUAUUUUUUAUUUUAAUUUUAUAGAUUAUAAAUCUAAAACACUAAAAAUAUAAAUUAAAAAAUAAAUAUUUUUAAAUUAUUAUUUAAAAAAAUAUUAUAUUUUAAUUAGUGAUAAAAUUAUUUGUGAUGAAAUUUAUGCCUCAAAUAAC